rnacentral:rRNA from 1 species
AACGAACGUUAGCGGCGCGCCUAACACAUGCAAGUCGCACGAGAAAGGGCUUCGGCCCCGGUAAAGUGGCGCACGGGUGAGUAACACGUGGGUAAUCUGCCUUCGAGCGGGGGAUAACGACCCGAAAGGGUCGCUAAUACCGCAUAAGACCACGACCUCGAAAGAGGAUGCGGUCAAAGCUGGCCUCUAUAUAUAAGCUAGCACUUGAAGAUGAGCCCGCGGCCCAUCAGCUAGUGGUAGGGUAAUGGCCUACCAAGGCUAAGACGGGUAGCUGGUCUGAGAGGAUGAUCAGCCACACUGGAACUGAGACACGGUCCAGACUCCUACGGGAGGCAGCAGUGGGAAUCUUGCGCAAUGGGCGAAAGACCUGACGCAGCGACGCCGCGUGAGUGAUGAA